UACGAAGGGGGCUAGCGUUGUUCGGAAUCACUGGGCGUAAAGCGCACGUAGGCGGACUUUCAAGUCAGGGGUGAAAUCCCGGGGCUCAACCUCGGAAUUGCCUUUGAUACUGUAGGUCUCGAGUCCGGAAGAGGUGGGUGGAAUUCCUAGUGUAGAGGUGAAAUUCGUAGAUAUUAGGAAGAACACCGGUGGCGAAGGCGGCUAUCUGGCCCGUAAUUGACGCUGAGGCGCGAAAGCGUGGGGAGCAAACAGGGAU
rnacentral:rRNA from 1 species